rnacentral:rRNA from 1 species
UACGUAGGGGGCAAGCGUUGUCCGGAUUUAUUGGGCGUAAAGAGCGUGUAGGCGGCCAGGUAGGUCCGUUGUGAAAACUCGAGGCUCAACCUCGAGACGCCGAUGGAAACCAUCUGGCUAGAGUCCGGAAGAGGAGAGUGGAAUUCCCGGUGUAGCGGUGAACUGCGCAGAUAUCGGGAAGAACACCCGUGGCUAAGGCGGCUCUCUAGUACGGUACUGACGCUGAGACGCGAAAGCGUGGGGAGCGAACAGG